CGCCAAGAGCGGCGUCCGCAGGCUCCUCCUCCGCCUCCUCGAUUUCUCCGGCCACUUCUUGGCCUCCGCCGCCACCUUCGUAGAGUCCCCGGCGUUUCGAAUACUCCUCUCCUCCGUUGUCCCCGACGACGCGCCAGCGGUGCUCCGGAAGUCCGAUCACGGUGGAGGGUGAAGAGUGCCGCACAACCCCGCCGGAACCUUGAGAAGAGAUAGGCAGUUUCUGCUCAUAUUUUGCUUGAAGGUGACAGAGAUAGCAUAUACGCACCGUGGUAGCCCGCGAGCUCCGUUUAUACUCUCGUGAUCCGAAACGCCUACUCUAAAAUCCACAAAACCCAUUCUUUCUUUGGCGGCGCCUCUUCGCCACCGAUGGAAGUGGUGAUCUCCUCCUCCCCGGUCGACGUCGGCAUCGGUUGUUGGGACCUACGCUCGGGCUUCGAGCAGCUCCGGUACCGCUCAUGCUCCUCCGCUCCACAUGGCCUCCUCUCCAUAGCCGGCCGCUUUCUCGCUUCCUCGCAGCUUCGCGAUUCCCCUUCCUCCGCCUCUUGCCCCAUUUUCUUCUGGUCCUGGGAUAAGGUGAGUCCUAAUUCGAACCUUUCUUCCACAUCUCCACUUCACGCCCUGUUUCAUACUCGUGUUGGAUAAACGAUCUCAUAAUUCUCGCUCUAUGUUUCAGCCUCAGGUGGAAGUUAGGAGCUUCCCGGUUGAGCCGAUUGGACCGCUUGUUUCCAAUUCAGAAGGCACUUACGUCAUGGGAGGAGGACCAUCCGGCAUUAUCUACCAAUGGGAGGUAAUCUUUUGCUUUUCCACUUCUGAUUUCUUAGGCAAGAUUUGCUUUUUCU
rnacentral:lncRNA from 1 species